CCAUCAGUCAGCACCAGUUGCCUUUAGCAACCAACAACAAAUCUGCCCACACUGGCCACAGAGAUUGAGACUACGUGCUUAUUACUGCAUUGAUGUUCAGCUGAGGAGUCCUGGCAUCUGGAAGACUUCACCUAUAGGAACUUCCAGAGAGCACGUAAGUCAUGUCUUCAGGGAAACUAAGAGAGAGCAGUGAAUGCCAGGGUGUGAGAGAAACAUCCUCCAGCUUGGUUGCACCCAGUCACUGCUGCUUCCACCAGGAAGAUACGCUAGGCCAGUUUGGAAAACAGUGCCCAAGGGAUUCCUCUUCUGAGACAUCUGUCUCACUAGAGGGGGAAGGGCACACUAAAGAUGCCAUGGGAGAGCUUCUCGUGUAGCCCUCAGCAAGGUUUCUUCUGGUUGAAUAUUUGCAGGAGUGGAACUGUCACAGCCUGCCUUUAAAUAGUCUGAAUUAAUUGGCAUAUUUUAAUCUAUUUACUUAUUAUUAUUGCUGACUUGUAACAUAAAACCUUAAUCACUCUGAAAGAGAUAUAUAUAUUUAUAUAUAUACGAGUUAAAUAUGUGUGUGAGUGUUUGAUAUAUGUAUAGUCGUAUUGAGAAACUAUCUGACUCUCAAUACCUGUGUCAGGUGGUCCUUAAUGUGCAUGCAGUACUCUCCAGUCACACCAAGGAACAUCUGCCCCUUCACACUGCACUGCAGUGAAACAGCACAGGCUGCAAGGCUACAGAGCCCAGCAAUGCACACAGAAUUACAUUCAUCUGUGAGCCUUUAUCUGUGGACCCAUUAUCUGUCUCCCACUGAGAGGGCCUAGAAAAAGUCAGCAGUCUCAGUGGCUGCUGUCAGCAGAGGGAUUAUGGAUUCUGACCCUCCCAACCCCAGAUGUUUUCCUAGGCCAGUGCCAUGUGGGUCUCAGCAGCUGCCCCUGAGCUAACACCUUUGCCUUUGGGACCAGGAGGCAGAGAAGGGAAAACAUGGACACACUUCAAAGUCAGCUCAGGUUUCAAGGGGCAAGAAGCUGAAGAGGAUGAUUUCUGCUCAUUCCUUUCUUCCCCUGAGCAUCAGAAAGAGCCUGUUGUGGCGGUGGAGGGAGGCAGAACUAUUGUUACACCGCUCCCGGCAUCUCUAUUCAGUACAACUCAUCCUGCCUUUGGGGAAGUUCAGCAAUUUCAACACUGUCUUUGGGAUUUUCCAGAGGUUACAAUCCACCAGUUAGUAAUUCAGCCUGUUCUCUGAGUGCUCUUUUGAAAGAAUCAUGGCAUUUUCAAAGAAGUCAGAGGUCAUCGCUGGCUUGGCUUGACAUUUACACUUGUUUUUAUCAAGAGAUAGAGGAAUGGCAUUCAUUGCUGGUAUACCCAAAAACAGUAGAAUUUUUUUCCCCUCAAGGGUUUAGAGCUCAUUCUCACACUUGUUCACGAUCCAAAAAUAAUCCUCUCAUUAGUUCUUUAGCAAAAUCACAUUGCAGUAUCCUGCACCUUGUUAUUGACAUUCUUAGCAAUAUAUAAACUGCUGCAGAAUAACUGCCUGACCACUUCUGCCAGGAAGGAAAAUGCCGGAGGAUACAUUCAUUCCAUCGACAGAGGAAUUAAUUUUUAACUUUUUUCUCCUUUUUACCUCGCUGAAAGAUACAGGAAUGACCGAAGCCAGAGGAACUGAACAGAUCAUGUUAUGUGAGGAUCUGGCUAACCAUUUGGUAGGUCUGUGCACCAGCGUCUCUCCUGAACAUAGCAGGUGCUGCAGAGACAAAGGUGGAAGCAAAAAAGCCUAAAAGAAAAAUACCCAGAUUUACUUUAUUUGGGCUUCCUGGUGAUAAGAUGGAGAAUUUUUAUUGCUAUUUAAUUUCACCAACAAGUUUAUACAGCAGGUUACCCAGCAAAUAGAGGGAGAAAUGUUAAAUAAUGUUUAAUUAUUAAUUAAAACUAGGUGAACAUUAUGAGAUCCAUCAAGAUCAGAAUCUCACUGUGCUGAGCCAGGUAAGAAGUUAUUCCCUGCCCUGAAGAGCUUAAAAACUGAAGAGACCAGUGAAUCACUGAAGUUGGGCACAGACUUCUUUUCACUGAGAAACUAGAGCUGCAGUAACCCUGCGUCCUUCUCCACAAGACUGACCCUUUUUCCAGAGAUUCUUUUAAUAAUAGGACAAACUUAGCUUACUAGCAGUGCUGUACACACAAUCUAUUCCUUGGCAAGUGCAUUCCUUAACAUGCCAAUUAAAAUAAUUCAGUUGCCUUUGUCCCCCUCACUUUAUUUAGAGAACUCAAAGUACAUCAGCAUACAUGCUGUAAUAACAGAUAAGGGUAUGAAGAUAUAACCAAUCCUCAUUUGUAUUAUGCUGGGUACAUCAAAAAGCUACUUUUCCAUAAUCUGCUUAUUCCCAUUGUAAUCGUUAUACAAGAACUCUGAAAAUCUCGCUGGAGCAUAAAGAUAGAAAAGAGUCAGAGAGGGAGGGGAAAAGGGAAGCAUAUUUAAUAACUGAGGAAAAUCUUAUUUGAGAAAGGCUAAUUUAUGAGUACAUGAAGCAUCAUAUGGUUCUAUAUAAAGGCUCCAAGUAUGGCUGGGAUGGAGAAAAACAGUUGGGUCUACCAGCUCUAGAUCACACAUCUAGCAGCUAGACCUGGAUCAAUAGGUACUGUGGUUCCAGGGAAACCUUGAGCCUAUGACUGAGAGACUUUUUGAGGCAAAAGGUGCACAAGAAAGUAGGCAGAGCUAAAGGAGCUCUAACUUCUACACAAUUCAGCAAAUAUGAAAUUCCCACUUGGUUCCCUUGCUAUUAAGAACUUCUCUGUUUCUAGCGGAAGUAAACAAAGCUUUGCUUCAUGUGGGGAAACCUUUUCCCCGUGAUAUAACCUAUCCAUAGGGAUAAAGCCGUGGGCAUGCCUUGGAAACUUGGAAAAUUCAGUUAUCUCAGCUCUUCUUUUACCAUAUAUUUGAGUGAAAAAGGAAGAGGAACCCACAGAUCUCUGUAAAUUGAAGCUGUCAUCUUUUGGACAGUUCCAUGUCAGUGCUACUUUCUCCCACAUUUCUACAUGCCAGACAGAGGUUCCUAGGUAGGUUCCAUUAGCCCUCUGAGUGCCAGUGUGCUAGAUAAAUAUCUUAUGUACAAAAAGAUUCUGUACUUAAAGGGAACUGUAGAUACUUACCUGUGUCUUGCAUUCAACUAGGUUUAAACAUGUUUUGAAAUAGUUUCAAUUUAUUUUGAGGUUCCCAGACUAUUUUCUGUUAUUUUUGGAAUAAAUAUGCAUUAAUAUACAUUUGUGCUGGUCUGCACACUUGCAGAGUCCAGUGCAUUAAGGAGAUGCUGAAUGCACUGCUCACGGAUUGCAUAGGGAAUUUGUGUGUACAGUAAUUCUGAUGCAAUUAACAUGUGUAGGAGCCACUAGGGUUAAAUCAUAGGUUGUAUCUGUUUGUGCACUGUGUCCAUCUAUGUAGUGUAUUCAAGUGUCAGACUGUCUGGACAGAAAUGCUAUUCUGACUCAGUUGCCAGAGACAUACAAAGAUCCUAGAAGUAUGUCUGAAGCCCCCUUGUAAUCUUCAAGAUAAAACUUUUUCUUGCUAGAAAUCUGGCCACAUCCAGAACAUGCAGGUAUAUAUAUGGUAGUCCUGCCCAAAUCAAAUCCUUAGUUCCCAUGGUAGGAAACCAGUGCAAAUAAAAGGGAUCAGGUUAACAUGCAUCUGUGUGCACGGACAUACACAAUACAAUUAAAAGCUCAGCUCCAUUCCUAGCUCACUGCUUUUGCUCUGGGUAGUAGUAAAUCCUCACCCAGCAGGGUUGCAAGAAUGAAAACCAGCCACAAGAGACAAAGAGGCACAGAAGUGAUUGAAGCCAGCCUAGGCAGAAGCAAGUUCUGGGAAGCGUGAUGCUCCUGGGCAGGCUUGGGGCCAGCAUGGCCCCCGCUGCCCUGACUGAUCCUGUAGCAGAUCCCUGAGGGCAAUGCUGAUGUUGUUUUUCUUCCCCCUCCUUGCAAGGGUUUGCAAAUAAAGGCCAUGCAAUGAAGGCGGCCUCUUCUUUAUUUAUUUCUUUCUUUCUGUAGUCUGUCUGAAAGAAGAACACGAUUUCUUCAUCUUUGUAAUUCAGAAGUAUUUGAAUAUUUGUUCUUCAGGCUGUGAAAUGACCAUAAAUAGUUUUCCACAAGAAUUUGCUUCUUGGACUGUGGUAUUUACUAGAGACAAGUCAGAUAAAAUACCUUAGGCUAAACUGCAGCUUUUUGGUCUCUGUUCAUAGGAGAAAGGAGGCUGGGAGUUCCUGGGGGAACUCUCCCACCAGAAAGCACAUCUCAAGCUUUCCACACUGCUUCCUCAUCAAAUCAUCAGCAAGAGAGGGAAUGCCUUGAAUGCUCUGCAACAUGGAAGCCUGUACCCUAGGAAAGCUGAUAGCUUGGUAGUGCCCUCGAUGCAGGGAAGGCCCAAAUCUUUAGGUCUGCAUUCACUGUAGAUGAACUUAUGUACCAACAAAAAGUUUCUGUGGUGGAUAAUUAUGGACAAGUCUCAGUGAUUUAGGAGCAUGCGUGCUUAUGGAACUCAGCAAACUCUGAAUAAAUGCAUAAAGAAAUUGCGGUCACUGCUUCAAGUGUCUCUAUUUACAGACACCUAAAAAUAGCAGUGACUACAACAAGGUACUUCAAGUUAAUGCAGUGUCCUGAGUUGUCAUGCACACAUGAUGGUUAAAACAGCUCUCAGCUCUUAAAGUCAGUGCUCACAGAUUUCUUUAGAACAUUUUAAAGUUAAUAACAUUCUUUAUCCUCAAAGCAGGCCUACUUAACUGUGAGUUGAUUUUGCUGUACAGUCAUAUUGACACCUACAUUUAGUUAACACUUCUUUAUCCAGCCCCACCAGUGAGACCUGUAGAGUGGCAACACUCCUUGAUUACUGACAUGACUGACUGAGCUUUAAUGUAGCCUAAGUGUCACCACCUUUCACAUCAAGACAGGCACAAGUCCCAGUAUCAAUCAAAAUGUCUCUGAGUGGAGUUUCCCAUAUACUUUAUUAGCUUAAAACAUUACAGUGAACAUAGCCCCCUGUACAGAAUGGUUCUUAAGGAGGCAGAGCAGCCCAAGAGUCAGUUCAUCAGAGUGACAUUUUUUCUACUUGGAGAAAAUAUAUGAUAGUGAUUACCAGUGGAAUUGUCUAUUGCUUAUUUAAAAUAAUCUCAUUCUGCCUUUCUGUCCCAUUCAAGAACUUUCUAAAAUUCUUGUACUACAAAAGGCGGACUGACGUGGGAUCCAGAAUGUUCCUAUUUUUAUUUUUUUUAGCUAUGCUUGCCAAUGUUUGAAGUGCAUUGACAUGAACCAGAAACAGCUGGAGCUUCAGUCAGCAAAAUGAGAAGGAUAGGUGGUGCAUAAUCAUUGAAUUAAGAAGCUUCACUGCUGCCCAGAAUCACUGAUUGGAUAUUAUCUAAUGGCAGAAGAAGAGAUAUUGUUAACAUCUGAUGGUUUCAAAUUCAAGUAUUUUUAGGAGAUGCAUCAAUUGAAGCAGUGAUUAGACAAAAGUGGACCAAAACCAUCAGCUGAUUGGUUUUAAACAUUACAAUCUCAUUUAAAAAUGAAUAAAAAAAGUCUGUAACUUUACUCAGCUGUAAUUUCUGUCUGCUCAAAUAUUGUGAACUUGUUCUGUUUUGCAAACAUCAAAGGGAACAGAGUUCUGUAAAAUGACCAACACUCUUUUCUCCUCCACAUGAAUAAUUCCUGUAGCUGAUUUCUACUGGGAAAGAGAAAUACCUUUUAUUUCUGUUGUGUACCCAGACACAAUUUAGAGCAAUUAACCGCAUUUAGGAUACUUCAGAUUAUUGUCAGUUCUUCCGACAGUUCAAGGAAAGUGGCUCCACAAGAUCUGUUUUGAAAGAGAUAUUAUGAAUAUGUCCAAAACAGUGUACACAGCUGGGUUGAAGUGCUUCAUUUCCAGUGUCUUUGUUUUGGUAGGAAAUUAUGAUUGAGUCUGACGCUUGUACACAUUCGUCAAAACGGGUAUUUUCUGGACUGCCUAUUCAAACAGUGCAUCUGACACUCUUUCCAGUUAGCAUCCCCAAGGCUUACAGCAGAUGAUUGUCUGAUGGGCUCUCAUCUCCACUGUUACUGGGAAAGUCCAUUUGGAAAUAAUGGCUUAAAAAUAAAAUAAAAUAAAAUAAAAUAAAAUAAAAUAAAAUAAAAUAAAAUAAAAUAAAAUAAAAGCAGAGGCAACAUUAUCAGAAUCAUUUACCACAGGUGAUCCAAAUGAAAUCCCUGGAGGAAGGAUUAUCCAACCUCCACAUCCAUUGCAACUAUGAAAUAAAAAGCUAUGAAAUAAAAGUGUUAGUGCUCUGGAGAUCCUUUCAUCAUCUCUCCAUCCCAACACAGUAAACAGGUUCUCAGUGCUUCUGAAUGUCUGAACAUGCAGACUCUGUAUGUUCUUAAUGUUGUGCAGUCAUAGCCAUUGCUAUGAUUUCUUCAGUAUGGCAACUUUUCUGUGUUGGAGUAGGAAAGCAGAUUGAAACAUAACUAUGUCUGUCUGCUUUUCAUGGUCUAUUAAGACAUUAAGUCCUGUGUUUCCCUCUCUUUUCAGAGCCAUCACUGUGCCUGAUACUGAAGCUAGCAGUGACUGUAUUUAAACAAGGAUUUAAUAAAUAGAGGUCUAGCAUGGUUUCCUUAACCAUCAUGGAUAAGAGGUUUCACGUCCCAGCAGCUCUCCGUUUUACUUAACGUAUGAGUCAGGGGCUCAAACAAAAUAGUGAUUUAACCUUGACACAGAUCAGUUUUAUUUUGUCUGUGUAAGUGGGAGCAAAAUGCUUCAGCAUGGGACUUUAAUGAUUUAGUUGAUUACUGUUGUCAUUUUUUCACAGAACUAAAAUAAGGUUAGAGGAAAGAAAAAGAUUUUUUUUCCCCCUUGGACUUCAUUGUAAAGCUUUGAGUUUUCAUUGCCAGAAAUGAAAACAGAAAAAAAAAAAAAAAAAAAAGGCUUGUAUGAUUUUUAUUACAAACAGCCAAAUAGGAAUUUUCUUUCAAACAGUAUCCAUUCUACCCAAGGCUUCUUUUUGGCUUCAUAAGCUUUCAGUCAGCUCUAAUUCUUAUCCUUGUCAUAUAGUUAAGGAAUCCAAGCCUCAGCCAAGUGAAGUGAUUUGCCCCAGGUGCCCCAGUAGGCUGGUGGCAGAGCCCAGAAGAGUCCAGUUCCCUGACAUCCAUUCUCAUGCUGGAGCCUGUUCUCCAUUCACACCCCUCCACAAGAAGAAAGACAUUUAUCAGCGCUCCCAAAGAAGCUCCAAUAUUGGAAUCUUUAUUCUCAGAGUAGAGAACAGGCCCGAUAACAGUGUAUCUGCUGAUAAAUGCUGACAGUAUUUUGAGUUAAAUAUCCUCUGGAAAGAUUCUGCUGCAGACAGAGACACCUGCAACGGUAAGGAAUAUUAUUUAGCAUCAUAUCUUUCUCCAGCUACUGAUUACUGAGCACUUCCUUUAAGAAAUGAUAAAAAGGAGAGAAAAUGUAAAUGAUGGCAUGGAAGCCAACACAUUCCCCUGCCAGAUAAAAUGGCACUUAGCAAUCAGAGUAAGUCUUAGCUACACUAACAGCACUGGACAUUUAAAGCAGUGAUUGGGCUAAAUUUGAACACAUCAUUCUUCAGGAUCUAUGUAAAUAUUAUCGAUAUUUUGUAUAUAUUUCUCCUUUGAGGGCAUCAGAAAGGAUAAAUUUUCAUGCUGUCUGCUGCUUCUUUACUAACUGCUCUAGAUUUUCCAAAAAACUGUAUUUUGUUCUUUGAGAUGAUUUAUUACUGUGGCUUCCUCAGUCUUAUUUGAAUAGGGAUUUAAAUAAUUGUAUUUCCAGUGUUCUCUUCCUAUUAUGUGCAAGAAGCUUUUAUAGGAGAUGGGGGCUGAUACAGCCAGAAAAGAAUGCAUUUUGAAUGUGAUAAUCUCCAAUUUAGCUAAUAGUGCUAAUUAACUAGGAUUAUAUUUUUUGGCUUGUCACUGGUUAGUGAAUGAAUCCCGGGAAAGAUGAGUGCUUCAAUAAAAUGAGACAGUAGUUCUUAAUGUAUAUGUUUUUAGCGUUUCUUGUCAAGAAGCUGCAUCAGCCCCUUACUGUAUACAGUACAUGAGGGUAAUAUAUAUUUUUAAUGUUUUUGCUUCAGGAAUAUUGACUGAAGACUUUUCUUUCUCUUUGACUGACCAGUAUGUAUUUUUUUUCCCUCCAGAUUACAAAGCUUGUUACUUCCAUGUCUUCAUGGUUUACUGAAGAACUAAGCCAAGUAAAGCUUCAAGUCUUUGAAUCAUGUUCAAAUGUUAUGUAUGAAUUUCAUUAACAGUUGCAAGGAUAAGUUUAACUUGGCGUCGAUCGGGUUAGUGGGAAACUAUGUACAAUAGCAGAAAAUGUAUUGCAGGGAUCAGCAUGAGUAUAUGGGCUUGUUCUCUUUUCCUUUAGAAAAUGUCUUUGAAGGUAUUCCCAAACUUUCUCAUCUUUCUGUGCUUUCUGAGCAUGUUUAAAGUGUCUGGAGAAAGGAAGAAAGGAAGGUAUCAACCUAGUAAUCAUGGAGGUGUAUUGAGAGACUGUAAUCCAGACCCUGUCUGUAAUCCAUCUGUAAUUCGUCCUCCCUGCACUCCCUGGCAAUAUGCUAUUGAAUUAUCACAUUCAAUGUACACAGUGCGUAUAAUAACAAAUAAUGAGGUUUCAUGCGGAAUUCAUAAACUAUCACAGAGAUGCCUCCAGGUUGUUUCCAGUAUGAAGAUAAAUUAUGUUAGCUAAUGUUAUGUAGUGUGAUCGUACAUCACAGGCCUUCCCCAUAGACCAUAUUGCCCAGCUCUACUUAGUUUUCUUUAAAAAUAGAUGCUAUGGAUUUAUAUUCCUGUAGCAUAACGGAUGCUUCUGCUCGGGCCUUGUAAAUGCAAGAGCUGGAAAUGAACUGUGGUGUAAGAGAUACAGAAUCAUAGAAUUGUUUGAGCUGGAAAGGAUCCUUAAAGCUAACUACACUGAUACGUGGAAAUGGCAUGAAAGUGAGAUUUGAGAAAAACUGAGAUACAAAUGGAUUUAUACUAUCUCACUAACCAGCUAGCCCAAAUACAAUACAGCUUCAAAAGUGCCUUUAAUUUGUACAGGGCCUACCACUGUGACAAAGACUUUUAGAUUAGAAUACCAGGAAAGCCUUGGUGAGAAUAUGUUUGGGGCUUUUUUUAAAUGUUUUUUUUUUUUCCUUUUUCUUUUAUUCAUUUUCUCUUUUUCUUUUUUUUUCCUUUUUCUUUUUUCAUUUUCUCUUUACAUUUAAUGAUGAUAGAUUAUGUGGUCAAUUUGAUCACCUCUUUUGGAAGGCAUUUAUAAUGAUCAGUGUCAAUAUUUAUGAGGAAAUAAAGCACUCUAAAAAUUAUUCAUAGUCACUGAGGCUAUUUUUCACUUAGCAUUAAUGCACUGAGUGCAGGUUUCUUGAUACAGUCAGAUAUGCUAGCCAAGAAUAAGCUCAGGCCCCAAAGUACAGCUAAGGAUGUUUAAUGUAUCUUGACAGUCAUUAAGUAGUUGGUAAAGGACUGGCAAUGAAUUCAUUAUUCUUCUUAUGAAUCAAUCCCUAUUUAUAGCAAACUAUCAAAAUUUUCAUGUUAUAAUAUGGAGAUUGAAAUGGUUAUAUUUAGUGGUCCUUUCACCAGAGGCAGCCAUGAAAGAACCGGUGAGACUAGAACAAAUUACAGUUAAUGACAGACUCUUUCUCAGAGAAUUAAAUACUUUAAUUGGUCAAUCAGGUUGGGCAUUCGAGAAAGAAAGAGUUGUAAUUAUGUGAAAACCUGCCUACUGUACUUUGGCAGCUUUAUGGGCCUCUGGCAAUUUUUCAUCAGGAUUUAGAUUUGUCAUCAUGUUCUUACGCUUACAGAUACCCCUAGCCAAGAAUAAGAGCUACUUCUUGACCUCCUAGGUUUGGGGGUUCCUUGGAACAAAAUAAGAUCAAGAUUUUGGUACUGAUAUGCUGUUGCCUUUGAGUGCAAUUCCAUCAUGACAUCUAUAUAUCAGCUACACUGUCUUUUGAAGGCUUAUGUGAGACUUUCCACCCUCUUGGCAAGUGUAUGAGGCAGCAGUCUCACUUCUUUGCAUAUCACCCAUGUAGUAACACUCAGUAAUAUUGUUUGAAGACAUAGAGUUUGUUCCAUUGUUCCAUAUACUUUUUUUUUUUUUUGCUUCUUGCAUCUAAUUCACAAUUCGGUUGUUUUCUAGUUAAACACCAGAACAACUCCAUAAAUUGUCUACCUUGCAUAUUUAGUUUGUUAUUCAUUCAGGGAAGAGUUUAUCUCUUAAUGUGUGUUUUGCCAGGCUGCUUACUACACUGCUCUGGUUCCUGGUAGAAGCUUUGCGAUGCUAAUGUAAUGUUGUGGCUGCUUUUAACAUUCUGUGUUACAGCAUCUGUAACAAAGCUCUAUUAUGUUGGUUUUUGGGUGUCCCACAUGAAUCAGUGAGUUGAAACAGCCAUUUUACAUCAGAAAAAGUUCUGCCUUCUCUCUUCUAUAGUCUCAUAUUAGAAGUGAUGUAAGAUUUUGUUCAGCGUGAAACUGGACUCUACCUCACAGCAGAGAGAUGUUCUUGCUUGAUGAUUGUGAGGAACAUGAUAUGCCUUAGCUAUGCCUAUUGACUGCAUGAAGUUAUUGCUCUACAUUAGCGCAAGUUCAUAGUGAAAGCUUUGUGCUGUGCUUAUUCAAUGAGCUUAAUAAACGAGGUUAUAAAAUGAGGUUUUGGAGUGCGAGUGAGAGCAAGCCUUUCCCUGUAUGAAAAGAAAGAGUGAGAAUAGCUUGCUCCAGGAACACUAUGAAAGUGCCUGUGAGCUGGGCUGAGCAGUCUAUCGUGCUGAAUUGGGAUGUUAGACUGGUCUGCAGUCUUACAUCAAGACAGGUAUGACUGUUUUGGGACAAGCAUAUGAAGGCUGCAGCCGUGUUCUGCAAGAGAAGGAAACACUUUACAAUUUGGAUAGUUUAGAAGCCAGGAGAGAAAGGGGAGCUAGAUCUUACAUUGCACCAAUCAGAGACUUGCUGUUGCAGGGCCAGGUCUGACACACUGUGAAAGCCGUGGCUGAUACCUCUGCAGCUGAGCUUCACAACACUACUCCCUAGGAUGGAUGAAUGCUCACACAUCCUAGCUUUCUCCAGGUAGAUGAAUCCUCCAUCUAGUGCUCACCAGUGAGAAGAUCAGACAGUUGCCAUUGCUGACAAAAAGCAGCUACCUGCACCUUGGGAUCUUCUGGAGAAGAGCAGCAGCAGCAAGACGAGAAAAGCGAUUAGCGGCAACAGCAAAACCCCAGAGGAAUCAAGUACCAAAACUGGUUUUAUUUUCUGCUGCUUUGAUGGAGGAAAAGUCACUUUUCCUAAGGAAAGCCAUUUUGUUUCUUUACCCCAAAGAAAAAGUCACUUUUCUUAGGUAAGCAGAGCAAUAGUAUGGAUCUGAUGUUUUAUAGGUAAAAAAAAUAGAGGUAUUUCGCUGUCAUAGCCUCUGUACAUCACCACCUUCAGCUGACAGACAUGAAAUAAAAGCUUCCACCCCUGAAAGCAAAGGCAGAAACCUAGUGAGGAUGCAUGGUUCUCAAAUCCUACCUUCUUCUUCCUCUGUCACAGCUGUGCUGAGCCUUUAGGACCACACUCUUCCCAAGAUGCAUGGUCAACACACACCAAAGAGGGAGCAGAAAGUGCGUGGAGCUACACUAGCAGCCAAGUGGAGAGGCACUUCUCUGGGUCACGAGACAGGGCUCAGGAAUGGCCUGGUACAGGAUAUAUUUCUGAGGCACCAUGGAAACAAACAGAUGAGACACACCCCCAGCAGCAGUGGCCUGUCAGAGGAAAUUUCUCCCUUGCUGUAGCCAGCCCUGGCUUUGACUAGGCCUGGACAGGGGGACCAGGGCCAGGGUGGGCCCUUCCCAGAGUAGGCUUUUCCUGUCCUUCCCUGCCCUAUUCCAGGCCUGUGGCCUCUGAGGUGAGCGGCAGCCCAGGGCACAGUGGGCUCGGCUGGGCCCAUCUGUGGGACAGGGAUACCAGGCCAGGGUUCUGCCUGUGGGACAGGAGUGAGUUCUGACCCAUGGGCAUCGGGCCAGGCAGGGGCCGGUCUGCAGUGUGGCUAACAAGAUGGCUCCCAUCAAACCCGAGGUGAGAGCACUGGGUAGAAUGCAGCUCUCAGAGGAGGGGGCCUUUUUUUGCAUUGUCCCUACAUGUACCUCUGAGUCUGAGGAACAAAAACCAGCCCAUUAUUAGAUAAAGCUGGUUUUGUGUCUAUACAGACCAGAGGAGCUCUGAAGCAGCAGAACACUUGCAGCUCCUCUCUGUUCAAGAGGAGGGAAAUUCAUGGAGGCCGAGGGCCGGAGGGGGAUCCCAUGCAGCUGCUUCUUGCCAGGAAAGAGCUUACACAGCUGAAAACACACAUCACAGUGCCUCGGAGAAGUUUCAGAAGCUGCAAAUGAGAUUACACGCUGACCAAGUCAUGCUGGAACAAGUACAACAGGAGAACCAGUGCCUGAAUCAGCAAGUUGCCCAUCUGACGGCUGCAUUUAUGGCACUGCAGAAAAUGAGAAUCUUCUGUUCUCCCACGGAUUUCUUCUAUACUGAACAGUACUUGGCGGAGGAGCUGGCCAGUACUUGGUGCAGAAGGUCAUUGCUUUGGUCACUGUAUGCUGAUGGACUCCUCACCUCUGUGAGAUGACCUUAGCCCCUGUCACAGAACCCAGACGUGCACCAGCAGCCUGACGCAGGAGGGAGGGCUUCUCACCUGUGCUGGAGCUGCCUCCAUGCUACACACAGUGCACUAUGUGAUCUGUCCUUCUUUUCCAGCUUCAGUCUAGUUAAAAUACAUCAGACUGGCCACACAACCUCUUUCUUUUUCCUGCUGAGCCCUGUGACAGUGGGUCUGUGGUCUGGACUCAGCUCUACUGAGCACUAUUUGUGCUGCUGCGGACCAAAUCUUCUGCCAGGCUGUGCGAUGCCUAUGAAGGACAGACGCAGAAGAAAUUUCAUGCAGAAGGACAUUAAAACCUCUCGUUCAAAAAUCUCAAACAGACAUUUAAAAAUUAUUCCAUAUUAAACACUGCAGUAUUAGCAGAAACAUCCCUUCCAACUGAGGGUUUGUGGUAGGAGAAUGGCAACUCUCCUGUUGUCACCUUCUCUUCAGAGAAGAUCAUAUAGGAAAUCCUGUUCUUGCUGAUUGUGUUUGCAAAUCUCUCUUCCCCGGGACAUCGCAACAAGGUGAGGAAGAAGGCACUGAGACAUCCAUCUCAGCCUUGAUCCUGCCUGGGUGGGGUUAAUGAGUUCUGGGUUAUACCCACAGGGAGCAGCAUCUUGGUGAGCAUUUGUUAACAUUGAAACAUGAGUGCUGGCGAACAACUGCAAAAAGGACUCCUCAGAGUGUGUGGAGAAAAGCUUGAGGGAUGCUGACUCAGGUAAACUCUGAGGCAAAAUAAAUGAGACUUGUGGGAAGCUUGAUUAAACUGUUGAUAAGUUUUUGUGCUAGUGGGAGGGAUUUUUCUAUAUUGAGAAGAGUGAACUCAAAAAGAUGAGGGCAGGAUUUUCCCGGGCACUCUCAAAGGUUAAACUUGAGUCUUCUGACUGCAUCUUAGUAUGAUUCCGUGGAUAGUCUAACAUCAUGGUUCAGAUUCCUUUAUAAUGUUAUGAUCUCUAAAAUAAUUAGUCAUCUUUAUUAUUUUCCAAUUUAGAAUGUGGUGUUUUAAUAUGUGUAUAGCCGAAUCAGUGUAAAUAUCUAGAACAGAGUUACCCAACAAACCAGUAAUUAGUUGAGUCAAAGAGAAGUACCUUUUAAGCCAACAGAAUAGAAGUUAGUUUUGAGAUAUGAUGAAUACUCUAUUGCAGGUGAAGGACUGCACUAGGUUAGGGCACAGCAGCGUGUGGUAAAAUAACUUGUGUUGGCAAAGAUGUGGGUGCAUUCUUCUGUCAGCAAAUGUGAUCCCAGACCACUUACGUCCAUUUUCUGCUGAAAACACCAUAUAGACAUCACAGAAGAUCACUUACUGCAUACACCUCGAUUUAUGGCAAGAAAGCCCUUUAAUUUUCCAGAAUGGAUUUCCUCGCUUCCUCAGAGCAGUGCCUCUGGAAAAACUGAUACGGUACAAACUUCAUACAAUCCUGAUGAAAGCAUAAGGAUUUCUAAAGCAGCAUGUAGUCUGCGUGGAUUAAAGUACUGAAAUAAUUGUUUUAGUGUGUUGCUGUUAGGAAAAGAUUUUCACGGGAACUCAGUCCCCUCAUUUGGGAAAGGAACGUGAGAUCUCAGUGAGGCUCCUCGUAGGGUUUUGUCUUGCUGUAAGUACAGGAAACACAUGUACAAUCUUCUUCAGGAUAUUCAUUUGAAUGAAAUUGGGUUUAACCCUUUCCUCCCUCUUCCUUUUUUUUUUAAGGCUUACAUCAUGUUGGCUUUGGUGCCUUGUUUCUCUUGUGGCUGAGGUAGUUUGCUUUUGCCAAAUGUUAAUCUAGUAUAGGUGCUGUUUUUGAAAAUGUUGUGGUGCAAAGAUGCAUUUGAAGCAUCUAUAAGGCAUAUUUGCACUUCAAUUUGUGUUUUGGGGUUUGAAGCUGUAGUCCUUAAGACUAUCAUAAAACUGUCUUUUGAGGUAGUGACGCUUGGUAGAUUUUCACUGCACUUCUAUUGUUAUCUAAUAGACCUUGUGUGUGUGCAGAUGACUGCUUUUCCUCAUUCCUUAGCAAGGACUAAAUCUGGGGAAAGGGGGGGAAGCAGUCACAAGUGUUUUGUGCACUGACAAGCUUCAUGUAUGUAAGGAGCUGAUGUUUGACAUGAACCUUUGGAAAUUAUCUAUGCAUGCUUUCCUUCUACUUUUCUUCUGUGGCAUGUUUCUGGAUAUGUAUUUGUCUUCUUGUAAAGCAUGUCAGCAGAGUAGCUGAUAGGGUCACUCCCCAGAUGUUACCUUUCAGGUGAGUAGAUGUGGCAGUGUUCACAGCAGUAGAUGACAAAAGCAAAACACCUUUUGAGAAGUUCCUCUGUAAUGGUGCCCAAAGCUUUCUCAAGGGAAAGAAAUGAAUGUCUGAAUAAACCCCUUCCUGCUUUAAGGACAGUCCUGGAGACCUCAGUCAGACAAGCUCCUUCAAGCUGGCUAAGUCAGUGGUUUGGCUAAAUUGGUUUGUGAGCAGUGGGACAUGGUGAAAUGCAUAGAUCAGCCAGCAAGUGAGAGAGGACUGCAGUUACUACUAACAUUCCUUUGUGAUGAUAGUCUAGAUGCAAUUAAGUUAGUAAGAGGUGAUUUGCAAAUUUUUUGUUCAGUUUAGUGCAUUGUAACAUAGCUGUCACCACUUUGCACUCUUUGGCUUGGCAAGGUGAGCUUCUAGUCCGUCUUGUCUGACUUUUGUAAAUGAUAAACUGUCUCCCAAAAUUAAUACCAAUAUGUCAUAUCAUCUUCUUAAUUAAUGUGAAGAUUAAUCUUAAGUUUUACCUGUCUCACCAAGCACUUGCAAGCAUACUACUGCUUUCUUACAUCCCAAGGCUGAGGUAUUACAUAUUCAUAAUGACAAAGCAGAAACAAAUCUCAGAUGUGGAUGCUCCCCUGUAUCCUGUUUCUGCCACACUACUUAGAACAUCAUUUAAGAUUGGUCUUUAAGAACUAGACAUGCAGCACCGAGGAAACCUGCAAUAUAAAACCAAGUAGCUGGCAGAACAAGUGAAAUGUAGAGCACAUCUCCUACGUGCCAUGCGAUGACAAACACAAUCAUCUUUAGAUCCGAACAAGAGGAUGUAUGUCUGUCACAGAUGCAAUGACUUCAUUUUGUUGUGGAUUUUUUUCCCAGCAGCAAAGGAUUUUAAAAUAUUCCAGGAAUUUACCUUAUUUUCUGAGGUGUGGUACAAAUAUCAUGAGAAAUAACUCCUGCUUAGUAAAUAUUUUUUAUAGAAUUGUGGUCAUAAAAUUGAAUUCUUCAGCUGCAGUCACAGUGAGUUGUCGAACUAAGACAUAACGUGCAGUGAAAUACUGUGGAGUGCUACAUUGUGCAGGGUAGACCUCACGUUACUGUUUGGAUCUCACUGAAAGAAAAUACCUCCAUCUUAUCCACACUUCCAUCUGGUGAGGGGACUAAUUUUACCCUGUGGAAAAUCAACAGCACGCUCUCUCUGUUUUUUGUAUGCCCUACUGGCAGACAAAUACUUGGAAGGAAAAUCAGAGCUGCUCUGAAUGAAGAAACUCUUGCAGGGUAAAAUUAGAGUACAAGUCACAGGAACACUUCUUUUUUGUGUGUCUCAACGCAGGCUGCACAUGUAGCCUUGACAUCCUUCAUUUGCUAUAGCACUGAGCUGAGGUGAUUUGGUGCAGGUCAGGACUGAUAGUCCCCUCUGUUACUGUCUUAUUCUCUACUGACAGGCAAGAUGGGAGAGCAGUUCAGGGUAGUUGGUUACACCCUACAUGGUGGUCAGGAUGUACAGUAAAAUUCUGUGCUAGCCACACACAAGGAGAAUUAACACUUCUGUCUUUGGAGGUUAAUGUUAAAAAUGGGCAAGACAAAUCACUUUGAUACAAGUGAGCCAAGAGGGAGGAGCCAGGAGGUUUCAUUUGUCUUUUUAAGCAAUCAUAGGAAUAAAGCAAGAAGCCAAUAGCUGCUUCCAUGCUCUGCUGCCCUCUUGCAACAUAACACCACAUGCACUUCCUUUCUUGCACUCUCCAAGCAGUGGCUCAGUGACUUUCUCAGUGCUGGAGAGCUCAGUUCUCAGAUGAAUGUCUACUCCGUGGGUGUUCUUGUCUGGCUCUGGCAUCCAGAAUGUGUGACAGCUAUUGUUGCAGCUGGGACUUUUUUUUUGAGUGGAGCCAAUGUCACUGACGUAUACUUCUGCAUGCAGACCAGAUUUGGAUUUUAAAACCUCUUCAGAAGCAUCUCAGCCACAAAUGUUGCAUUGACUGUGCUUGCUUAUCUGAGAUGAGGUCUACACUG